GCAGUCUGGGGCCGCAGACACCCAGCCACUCUGAGCAGAACUGACAGCAUGAAGGCACUCCUGGCCCUGCCGCUGCUGCUGCUUCUCUCCACGCCCCCGUGUGCCCCCCAGGUCUCCGGGAUCCGAGGAGAUGGUAAGCAGCCCCACACUCACAGACGCGGCCUGGCCCACAGGUUGGGCAAGAAGAGGCUGGACUGUCAGAACAGACUGUCAGGGCCGAGCCCCAGCUCUGCAGGACUCAGGUUCCUCCUUUACAAAAUGGGGCAGAUGGAUGACAUAAGCAUUGCUCAUCUCCCUUGAAGAAAUCUUCCAUGACUCCUUGUGUCAAAGUCCCCAGCCCCAGGGACUGAGGCAAACCUUGGGGUGCUGAG
rnacentral:lncRNA from 1 species